rnacentral:rRNA from 1 species
UGCCGCGUGUGGGAAGAAGGCCUUCGGGUUGUAAACCACUUUUGUACGGAACGAAACGGUCUGCUCUAAUAAAGUGGGGUAAUGACGGUACCGUAAGAAUAAGCACCGGCUAACUACGUGCCAGCAGCCGCGGUAAUACGUAGGGUGCGAGCGUUAAUCGGAAUUACUGGGCGUAAAGCGUGCGCAGGCGGUUAUAUAAGACAGUUGUGAAAUCCCCGGGCUCAACCUGGGAAUUGCAUCUGUGACUGUAUAGCUAGAGUACGGUAGAGGGGGAUGGAAUUCCGCGUGUAGCAGUGAAAUGCGUAGAUAUGCGGAGGAACACCGAUGGCGAAGGCAAUCCCCUGGACCUGUACUGACGCUCAUGCACGAAAGCGUGGGGAGCAAACAGGAUUAGAUACCCUGGUAGUCCACGCCCUAAACGAUGUCAACUGGUUGUUGGGUGCAUUAGUACUCAGUAACGAAGCUAACGCGUGAAGUUGACCGCCUGGGGAGUACGGCCGCAAGGUUGAAACUCAAA